UACGUAGGGUGCAAGCGUUAAUCGGAAUUACUGGGCGUAAAGCGUGCGCAGGCGGUUUUGUAAGACUGUCGUGAAAUCCCCGGGCUUAACCUGGGAAUGGUGAUGGUGACUGCAAGGCUAGAGUUUGGCAGAGGGGGGUAGAAUUCCACGUGUAGCAGUGAAAUGCGUAGAGAUGUGGAGGAACACCGAUGGCGAAGGCAGCCCCCUGGGUCAAAACUGACGCUCAUGCACGAAAGCGUGGGGAGCAAACAGG
rnacentral:rRNA from 1 species